CCAGCAGCUGCGGUAAUUCCAGCUCUAAUAGCGUAUAUUAAAGUUGUUGCAGUUAAAAAGCUCGUAGUCGGAUGUCGGGCUCGGGCAGGCUGUCGGCUUCGGUCGGACGGCAGGCUCGGGUCUUUCUGCCUGAGGAACCCGUGGCACUUAACUGUGCGGCGUGGGGACGCAGGCCGUUUACUUUGAAAAAAUUAGAGUGUUCAAAGCAGGCUAUUGCUUGAAUAUAUUAGCAUGGAAUAAUGGAAUAGGACUUUGGUGCUAUUUCGUUGGUUAUGGGACCGAGGUAAUGAUUAAUAGGGACAGUUGGGGCCGUUCAUAUUUCGUUGUCAGAGGUGAAAUUCUUGGAUUUACGAACGAUGAACUUAUGCGAAAGCAUUCGGCAAGGAUGUUUUCAUUGAUCAAGAACGAAAGU
rnacentral:rRNA from 1 species